rnacentral:rRNA from 1 species
UACGUAGGUGGCAAGCGUUGUCCGGAAUUACUGGGUGUAAAGGGCGUGUAGGCGGGUUGUCAAGUCAGAUGUGAAAUUCCGUGGCUCAACUGCGGAGCUGCAUCUGAAACUGAUGAUCUUGAGUACUGGAGAGGGAAGCGGAAUUCCUAGUGUAGCGGUGAAAUGCGUAGAUAUUAGGAGGAACACCAGUGGCGAAGGCGGCUUUCUGGACAGUAACUGACGCUGAGGCGCGAAAGCGUGGGGAGCGAAC